rnacentral:lncRNA from 1 species
GUCUGAAGUGGGGAGCGGAGAGAGAGGCAGGUCUAGAUGCAGAUGGUCUGUUUCCCCUAACAACAGCAACGGCGGCGAGGAGAAAUCCUGGUCUCCGCCAGCUCCCGGCCAGGUAACCAACAGCCUGGAGUGGGAGGUGCCGUGCUGGGGAGGCACCGCGUGGACAGGGCUCUGCAGCCGCUCCCGCCCAGACUCGUAAUCAGGCCACUAACGACAGCGGGGAGCGUAAAAGUUCUCUUCCCUACCCACCUCGCGUGAUGCGGUGACACAGAAUGAAAUUCACAACACACAUGGAGAAAAGGAAAACAACCAAUCCUUCCCCAGAACGGAACAGCUAAGAGCCAACGCUACUGAAAACCAUGGGGCAGGCAUCUCCACCGAGUGCAGGGAAGAGGCCAGGAGAAGACCCAGGAAAUAAAUUUAAAAAGGGACAGCCUUUGAGCUGGUCCCUGACCGAGAAUUCCACAUAAGAGAUUCCAUUUACCUACUUCAAUAACAUGGAUCGUAAAACUCUUAUUCAAUAAAGAUAUGAAAUAGAAGAUACUUGACUUCUGCUGGAUGACCCAAUGUGGAAAGAGGAAG